rnacentral:rRNA from 1 species
GGUUAAGCGACUAAGCGUACACGGUGGAUGCCCUGGCAGUCAGAGGCGAUGAAGGGCGUGCUAAUCUGCGAUAAGCGCCGGUAAGGUGAUAUGAACCGUUAUAACCGGCGAUACCCGAAUGGGGAAACCCAGUGUGAUUCGUCACACUAUCAUUAACUGAAUCCAUAGGUUAAUGAGGCGAACCGGGGGAACUGAAACAUCUAAGUACCCCGAGGAAAAGAAAUCAACCGAGAUUCCCCCAGUAGCGGCGAGCGAACGGGGAGGAGCCCAGAGCCUGAAUCAGCAUAUGUGUUAGUGGAAGCGUCUGGAAAGGCGCGCGAUACAGGGUGACAGCCCCGUACACAAAAGCGCAUGUGCUGUGAGCUCGAUGAGUAGGGCGGGACACGUGGUAUCCUGUCUGAAUAUGGGGGGACCAUCCUCCAAGGCUAAAUACUCCUGACUGACCGAUAGUGAACCAGUACCGUGAGGGAAAGGCGAAAAGAACCCCGGCGAGGGGAGUGAAAAAGAACCUGAAACCGUGUACGUACAAGCAGUGGGAGCCCCACCACCAAAGCAUUCUCUGGUGUUGAAGGCCCUGCAAAGCAGAAUCGCGGUGGCGGAGCGUCGUUUGCGACGCCCAACACACAAAACAAGCGGUGAGUGCUUUGGGGUGGGGUGACUGCGUACCUUUUGUAUAAUGGGUCAGCGACUUAUAUUCUGUAGCAAGGUUAACCGAAUAGGGGAGCCG